CCCCAGCUGGUAGUGCUGUUUGGGGAGGUGAUAAGAUCUUUGAUACACAGGGCCCAGCUGGUGAAUAUAAGCCUCUCGGGCCCUGCAUUGUACCUAAAAUCUGUUCCCUGAUGUACUGAGAUGUGAACAAGCUGUGCUUCAAGUCUCGACCACCAUGGCCAAGCGGCUUCAGCUCCCAUGCUUUCCCCGCCGUGAUGGACUGUGUCUCCUGAACCGAGAGGCCGAGCAACCUUCUCCCAUGAGCUGCUUCUAUCAGGGACUUGAUCACAGUGAUAUAAAAGCGACUAAUACAGACAGCCAGGCCAGUUGGCAGCAAUGACAGCCAGAGAGCCAGGAGAAGUGUGCUGUGAUGCCUAACAGGGAGCAGACCCAAAGGUUGCAAAUGGUCAGGGAGCCCCAACCUGGCAGAGUUCAGGGAGGCCUAGCCGAGGGCACCAGGAAGAUGCCCAGGCUGCCGGUAACUCACCGCAAGGCAGGGAGGACUCCAGCACCCUCGGCCCAGUGCUCCUUACAACGAGUUUUCCAGUGGAAUACAGAUGAAGCCUGUUGGGAUGGACUCCAGACUCUCAGAGGUACCAUCCAGCUUUAAGUCUGCCCUGUGAUCCUUCUCCUUUGGAAGCAACCAGAACAAGCCCAUUGCCUUGCAACAACCCCUUCAAACCAGCUGCUCUUGGGAGCUCCUCCAAUGAUGCUGUUGUUUCCAGUUUACUGAUAUUUUAAGAACUCAUGUCAGAUGUUGGUCCUUAGUUUUCUUGGAACAUCUUUAUCUGGCUGUGGAGUCAAGAUAAAGCUGACCACCUAGAAUAAACUAAGUGAAGCCCUUCAUCUAUUCUUUAGGUGAGUUUGCAGUGAUGAACACCUUGGAAGAAAUUGGUGAGUAUGGAGGCUGGCAAGAUGGCUCAGCAGGUAAAGCCCUUGCUGCCACGUCUGAUUAUUGAAUUUCAUCUCCAGGACCCCUUUGGCAAAAGGAAAGAACACCCGCAGUUUUUCAGAUCUAUGUAAACUCUCAAAAUAUUCUCAGUCUGCAAACUCUGGACCGAAAUGUAACUUGAAUCCAACUGCAAAAAAAUCACUCAGUGAGCAUUUCCUGCAGUCAAACUAAGUAACCAGCUUUAAUGAAGCAAGCUGCCAUGUUGAAGAGGCUCCAACAGCCAGGAACUAAAGCCUUCGGUUUAACAAACCUUAAAGAAUUGAAUCCUUCCCUCAAACCUUGGAAGUGGCCUUGGAAAUGGACUACUCUCCAUGUGUAUUUUCAGAUGAGAGCCUCCACCCCAACCCUUUCCCAAAACCUCAGUCACAGUCUUGUCCUGAAUCAGAAGAUCUAGCUGACCAUGGCUGAAUUUCUAACUCAGACAAACUGUGAAAUGAAUAAUAAAUGUGUGUUA